AUGGAGCCGACCUUGAAAUACCACCCUUUAAUGUUUGAUGUUCUAACGUUGACCCGUAAUCCGGGUUGCGGACAGUGUCUGGUGGGUAGUUUGACUGGGGCGGUCUCCUCCUAAAGAGUAACGGAGGAGCACGAAGGUUGGCUAAUCCUGGUCGGACAUCAGGAGGUUAGUGCAAUGGCAUAAGCCAGCUUGACUGCGAGCGUGACGGCGCGAGCAGGUGCGAAAGCAGGUCAUAGUGAUCCGGUGGUUCUGAAUGGAAGGGCCAUCGCUCAACGGAUAAAAGGUACUCCGGGGAUAACAGGCUGAUACCGCCCAAGAGUUCAUAUCGACGGCGGUGUUUGGCACCUCGAUGUCGGCUCAUCACAUCCUGGGGCUGAAGUAGGUCCCAAGGGUAUGGCUGUUCGCCAUUUAAAGUGGUACGCGAGCUGGGUUUAGAACGUCGUGAGACAGUUCGGUCCCUAUCUGCCGUGGGCGCUGGAGAACUGAGGGGGGCUGCUCCUAGUACGAGAGGACCG
rnacentral:rRNA from 1 species